AUGAAUUUUAAACAACUUGAUCAUGAGCAUGUUGCCCAAUCUUGGGAAAGAAUGAAAUUAAUGCUUCACAAUUGCCCUACUCAUGGUUUGAAUUUAUGGAUGAUCAUACAAAAAUUUUAUGCCGGAUUGAAUUUUGCUUUUAGAAAUCUUUUAGAUUCGGCCGCAGGAGGCACUUUUAUGGAAAUUACAUUAGGGGAUGCUACCAAAUUGCUUGAUAAUAUCAUGGCUAAUUAUUCUCAAUGGCACACCGAAAGAUCUUCUAGUAAGAAAGUGCAUGCUAUAGAAGAAAUCAAUGUUUUGAGUAAAAAGAUGGAUGAACUUAUGAAGAUGUUUGCUCCUAAAAAUACUCCUCUUGAUCCCAAUGAUAUGCCUUUAUCUACCUUGCUUUAG
rnacentral:rRNA from 1 species